rnacentral:rRNA from 1 species
GUGGGGAAUAUUGCGCAAUGGCCGAAAGGCUGACGCAGCGACGCCGCGUGUGGGAUGACGGCCCUCGGGUUGUAAACCACUGUCGGGGGGGACGAAUACAGGGCCUCGAAUAGGGGACCCUGGGUGACGGUACCUCCAAAGGAAGCACCGGCUAACUCCGUGCCAGCAGCCGCGGUAAUACGGAGGGUGCGAGCGUUGUCCGGAAUCACUGGGCGUAAAGGGCGCGUAGGCGGUUCGUUAAGUUGCUGGUGAAAUCCCGGGGCUCAACUCCGGGGCUGCCGGCAAGACUGGCGGGCUAGAGCACGGUAGAGGCGGAUGGAAUUCCCGGUGUAGCGGUGGAAUGCGUAGAUAUCGGGAAGAAUACCGGUGGCGAAGGCGUUCCGCUGGGCCGUUGCUGACGCUGAGGCGCGACAGCGUGGGGAGCAAACAGGAUUAGAAACCCUGGUAGUCC